rnacentral:rRNA from 1 species
CUACGGGGCGCUGCAGUGGGGAAUAUUGCACAAUGGGCGCAAGCCUGAUGCAGCCAUGCCGCGUGUAUGAAGAAGGCCUUCGGGUUGUAAAGUACUUUCAGCGGGGAGGAAGGGAGUAAAGUUAAUACCUUUGCUCAUUGGCGUUACCCGCAGAAGAAGCACCGGCUAAGUCCGUGCCAGCAGCCGCGGUGAAUACGGAGGGUGCAAGCGUUAAUCGGAAUUACUGGGCGUAAAGCGCACGCAGGCGGUGUGUUAAGUCAGAUGUGAAAUCCCCGGGCUCAACCUGGGAACUGCAGCUGAUACUGGCAAGCUUGAGUCUCGUAGAGGGGGGUAGAAUUCCAGGUGUAGCGGUGAAAUGCGUAGAGAUCUGGAGGAAUACCGGUGGCGAAGGCGGCCCCCUGGACGAAGACUGACGCUCAGGUGCGAAAGCGUGGGGAGCAAACAGGAUUAGAUACCCUCGUAGUC